rnacentral:rRNA from 1 species
UUGAGAAGACCCUAUGGAGCUUCAAUUAACUGAUCCAAGGAGAUCAAUAUAUCCCGACAGGAACAAUAAUCCUCCCAAUGGAUCAACAAUUUAGGUUGGGGUGACCUCGGAGUACAAAAUAACCUCCGAAUGAUUUCUAAUCAAGACUAACCAGUCAAAAGUAUUACAUCAUUAAUUGACCCAAAACUAUUUGAUCAACGGAACAAGUUACCCUAGGGAUAACAGCGCAAUCCUAUUUUAGAGUCCAUAUCGACAAUAGGGUUUACGACCUCGAUGUUGGAUCAGGACAUCCCGAUGGUGCAGCAGCUAUCAAAG